GGUAAGAACACACACCUGUGUGUGUCCUGUAACCUCAGAGUGUAAAAGCAGCUGCAGCUGCCGCCUCCUCUCACCGUGAGAGAAGAUGUGACUGUCAUGUUCCUCCAGAGCAGGAGAAGAUGAUCUGCUGCAUCCUGCUGCUCCUCACACUGACCUCCUGUGUCUGUGGAACAUUUGUAGUGAAUGUGACACAGAGCUCCUAUCAGGCAGAGGAGAACCACAACAUCACACUGGAGUGGAGCUUCACAACCAAACCUCACACUCCACCUGACUCCCUUAUUAUCUUCUGUGAACUGAUCACUGAUCUCAGACAAUCAGUCCUGUAUCAUCUACAGGACUGAUUGAAAUGUUUUUGCGUCUGCAAUGUUUUUUCUUUACAUGAACAACACAGAUUUGUUUGGUCUCUUUGCAGCAGCGAGGGAUCGGCCUGAACUUGAGACAGAACCUGAGACAGAACCUGAGACAGAACCUGGAGAACCAAACACAGCAAGUCGGGGAAGGAUCAGCCUCUACUGUGGACUGGGACUGACAGCAGCUGUUGUUCUGACUCUUUUCAUUCAUUCGUCCUGAGGAACGUUUCAGCUCAGCAGAAACAGUUUGAUCCACAAAGUAAGUGAAAGUGUCAGAAUUCAACUUUGUACCACAGACACUGAAAACACUGUUUUCCCCUUUAGUUUCUUCAGUAAGUGACUAUAAGAGCCACAGGACACUGUCAUCCAUCAUUGGCUGGACCUCAACAGUGGUAUGUGGUCCAGCCAAUGAUAAAGUGGUCAGUAAAGUCUGUGACUGACUGACUGAGAGAUGAAGUUACACCAUUGGUCGGUCCAGUGUUUGACUUUUCCCAUUGGCUCUUUCAAAAUGAUUUGGUGGGAACAGUUUCUAUUACGUCUUUUACAGUGGAAACAAUACACGGUCCAGUCAUACACUAGAUCUAUACCUAGUCUUAUUUUGAAAGGACACCUUGUUAAACUGUGUCAGACAGAUGUGAAACGUGCACUGUGUUCACUUCAUGAAAUAAUGCUGAGAAGCUUGUCUACUUUUACUGACUUACCCAUCAUGCACUUGACCUGAUGGUAUGAAACUGUAGCAGCUCACAGGAAGUGAUGCGACUGUUUGUAUUGUUGUUAAUGUUCUUCCAUUUACUGCCUGAAAACUGUAAAACUGUAUUUUUGAAAUCUGAUUUUCUCCCUGUCUGUUACAGCUUGUUGUUAUUUGCUGCCUGUUAUUGUCACUUUUUCAUUGGAUGUAAUCUCCAGAGAAAAGCUGUGAGUUAACACUGUUGUUAAUGAGCACGGUCACUGGAGGGAGCUCUUUGUGCUCAUUUACACCAUCAGACACUUUCCUGUUUUACCUCAAGUGUUUUCUUCAUGUAUGUUUCAGUAUCGUUGAACUUCUCGUCUCCUCUAUCAUAACGACAGGACCUGAGUCAAAGGUUUAUCUGUGACAUGAAAUUCAUAUUUUUGUGUUACAUGAUGUUUAUAUUGUUUUGGUUUAGAGUUUAAAUUGAGUCAUUACAGCAUCAACAACUCAUAUCAGUGUAAAUAAUGUUUCCAUUUGAUCUGACAAAUGUAAAAUUCGACUAAAAUCACAUUAGAUUUGGAGUCUAGACGUCUUCACACUGUCAGUCCCACUCCCCUCUUGACCACUGAUGGAAACUGUUACAAUGCAGUUUAUAAUGUGAAUAUCCUGUAAAUAAAUUUCUA